CCUACGGGAGGCAGCAGUGAGGAAUAUUGGUCAAUGGGCGAGAGUCUGAACCAGCCAAGUCGCGUGAGGGAGUACUGCCCUAUGGGUUGUAAACCUCUUUUGUCGGGGAGCAAAAGCCGGACGUGUCCGGCUGUGAGAGUACCCGAAGAAAAAGCAUCGGCUAACUCCGUGCCAGCAGCCGCGGUAAUACGGAGGAUGCGAGCGUUAUCCGGAUUUAUUGGGCGUAAAGCGCUCGUAGGCGGUAUGUCAAGUCAAGGGUGAAAUCCCCGCGCUCAACGUGGGAACUGCCUUUGAAACUGGCAAACUGGAGUGUGUGAGAGGAUAGUGGAAUUCCAGGUGUAGGAGUGAAAUCCGUAGAUAUCUGGAGGAACAUCAGUGGCGAAGGCGACUAUCUGGCACAUAACUGACGCUGAGGAGCGAAAGCGUGGGUAGCAAACAGGAUUAGAUACCCCAGUAGUC
rnacentral:rRNA from 1 species